UACGUAGGUGGCGAGCGUUGUUCGGAUUUAUUGGGCGUAAAGGGUCUGUAGGAGGUUUGUUAAAUACGAGGUGAAAUCCGGGAGCUCAACUCCCGAAUUGCCUUGUAGACUGACAGACUAGGGCACUGGAGAGGUAAGCGGAAUACCAAGUGUAGCGGUGGAAUGCGUAGAUAUUUGGUAGAACACCAAGAGCGAAGGCAGCUUACUGGACAUUAGCCGACUCUGAGAGACGAAAGCGUGGGGAGCAAACAGG
rnacentral:misc_RNA from 1 species